AACGCACAUUGCGCUCUCUGGUAUUCCGGAGAGCAUGCCUGUUUGAGUAUCAGUUAACCAUUCUCAAGCUACACAAUUCCUCGGGAGCGUGUGGCGUGGAACUGAGUGUUCCCGGUAUGAGUGCCUCGGCGCUGUAACUGGGAGACUUGAAACUGAUCUCGCGGGAGCAGUGGUCAUUAAGGAUCAGCUCGUUGCAGGUGUACUAGUUGGAGGCGUCGCAAGACGUUUUCAUUCUUAGCACCAUAACGUAACGUUCAGAUCUGACGACUGCCACCGACGAACGCAGGAACUUGGAUGCGGGCGCAAGCCCAACUCUUAAUUCUUGAUCUCAAAUCAGGUAGGAUUACCCGCUGAACUUAA
rnacentral:misc_RNA from 1 species